GCGUUCACUUUGACAGCCCAUAUACUAAAAUCGGAAUAAUAUAGAAAGGAUUGGCAUGGCCCCUAUGCAGGGAUAACAUACAUUAAAACGAAUUCUUACCUUCUUGA
ensembl:snRNA U6 U6 spliceosomal RNA